rnacentral:rRNA from 1 species
UGGGGAAUAUUGCACAAUGGGCGCAAGCCUGAUGCAGCCAUGCCGCGUGUGUGAAGAAGGCCUUCGGGUUGUAAAGCACUUUCAGCGGGGAGGAAGGCGGUGAGGUUAAUAACAUCAUCGAUUGACGUUACCCGCAGAAGAAGCACCGGCUAACUCCGUGCCAGCAGCCGCGGUAAUACGGAGGGUGCAAGCGUUAAUCGGAAUUACUGGGCGUAAAGCGCACGCAGGCGGUCUGUCAAGUCGGAUGUGAAAUCCCCGGGCUCAACCUGGGAACUGCAUUCGAAACUGGCAGGCUAGAGUCUUGUAGAGGGGGGUAGAAUUCCAGGUGUAGCGGUGAAAUGCGUAGAGAUCUGGAGGAAUACCGGUGGCGAAGGCGGCCCCCUGGACAAAGACUGACGAUCAGGUGCGAAAGCGUGGGGAGCAAACAGG